AAAUAGCCCCGAUAGUAGCGGAAAUCCUUUGCUUGGGCGAUAGCCAAGAGCAAAGAUUGCAGCGAAUAGCGGGACAUAGC
rnacentral:sRNA from 1 species